GAUGAACGCUGGCGGCGUGCCUAAUACAUGCAAGUCGAGCGAACGGACGAGAAGCUUGCUUUUCUGAUGUUAGCGGCGGACGGGUGAGUAACACGUGGAUAACCUACCUAUAAGACUGGGAUAACUUCGGGAAACCGGAGCUAAUACCGGAUAAUAUUUUGAACCGCAUGGUUCAAAAGUGAAAGACGGUCUUGCUGUCACUUAUAGAUGGAUCCGCGCUGCAUUAGCUAGUUGGUAAGGUAACGGCUUACCAAGGCAACGAUGCAUAGCCGACCUGAGAGGGUGAUCGGCCACACUGGAACUGAGACACGGUCCAGACUCCUACGGGAGGCAGCAGUAGGGAAUCUUCCGCAAUGGGCGAAAGCCUGACGGAGCAACGCCGCGUGAGUGAUGAAGGUCUUCUGAUCGUAAAACUCUGUUAUUAGGGAAGAACAUAUGUGUAAGUAACUGUGCACAUCUUGACGGUACCUAAACAGAAAGCCACGGCUAACUACGUG
rnacentral:rRNA from 1 species